CGGGGCGUAGCUCAGUAUGGUAGAGCACUUGGUUCGGGACUAAGGGGUCGCUGGUUCAAAUCCAGUCGCCCCGA
rnacentral:tRNA from 1 species